rnacentral:lncRNA from 1 species
UGCGUCCCAGCUGCUGGGUGCUAUUAGCGUGGCACUGCAGAGCUGCUCGCCCUGGGUGUCUCCUGCGGAGGGAGAAACAUGGCAGGCCUAGAAGAGCAAGGCUUCUGCAAACUCCGCCUUCACCCCAAAAACGAAAGUAUUGCAGAGAACACUCACUUGGCGUAUGUUUCCCUUAUAUUAUUUAGAUUAUUUGGAGGUUCAAUAUCAUCCCUAUACCAUUUGGACUUCUCUUAUCAAGAUAAUUGGAUGUAGAUGCUGCAUUUGGAUUCCGCAUUGAAUUUCCUGGUCUCCUUGCUUGACUUGUUAGACAAAAGCAGUAGGAAAAGUGUAUUAGAGCAUUGCCAACUGGACUUUGAUAUAAAAUUCUGUAAAAUGGGUCAUUUAUGAAAGCUAGUUUAUAUUUAAGAAAUACACCUGCCUUUUAAUAAAUCACAGGACUCUGUCCACUGGUUAAGA